AACGAACGCUGGCGGCAGGCCUAACACAUGCAAGUCGAACGCCCCGCAAGGGGAGUGGCAGACGGGUGAGUAACGCGUGGGAACCUUCCCAGUGGUACGGAAUAACUGACCGAAAGGUUGGCUAAUACCGUAUACGCCCGAAAGGGGAAAGAUUUAUCGCCAUUGGAUGGGCCCGCGUCGGAUUAGCUAGUUGGUGAGGUAAUGGCUCACCAAGGCGACGAUCCGUAGCUGGUCUGAGAGGAUGAUCAGCCACACUGGGACUGAGACACGGCCCAGACUCCUACGGGAGGCAGCAGUGGGGAAUAUUGGACAAUGGGCGCAAGCCUGAUCCAGCCAUGCCGCGUGAGUGAUGAAGGUCUUCGGAUUGUAAAACUCUUUCGCCGGGGAAGAUAAUGACGGUACCCGGAGAAGAAGCUCCGGCUAACUUCGUGCCAGCCGCCGCAGUAA
rnacentral:rRNA from 1 species